rnacentral:rRNA from 1 species
UACGAGUUUGAUCCUGGCUCAGAGUGAACGCUGGCGGCAGGCCUAACACAUGCAAGUCCGAGCGGACAGCGCCGUCCGACCACCCUCGGGUGGUCGGAUCGGCGGCGAGCGGCGGACGGGUGAGGAAUGCAUCGGAAUCUGCCUCGUUGUGGGGGAUAACGUAGGGAAACUUACGCUAAUACCGCAUACGACCUACGGGUGAAAGUGGGGGACCUUCGGGCCUCACGCGAUGAGAUGAGCCGAUGCCGGAUUAGCUAGUUGGCGGGGUAAAGGCCCACCAAGGCGACGAUCCGUAGCUGGUCUGAGAGGAUGAUCAGCCACACUGGAACUGAGACACGGUCCAGACUCCUACGGGAGGCGGCAGUGGGGAAUAUUGGACAAUGGGGGCAACCCUGAUCCAGCCAUGCCGCGUGUGUGAAGAAGGCCUUCGGGUUGUAAAGCACUUUUGUUGGGGAAGAAACCGGCCGGGUUAAUACCCUGGUUGAAUGACGGUACCCAAAGAAUAAGCACCGGCUAACUUCGUG